rnacentral:tRNA from 1 species
GUUUAAAUAGUUUAAUUAGAAUAAUAAUUUGUGAUAUUAUAGGUGAAUUUAAUUCUUUAAGCC